CUUGCAGUUGCCGAAAAGCCUUACAUUCAAUAGAUCGAUAUAAUUUCACAGUGUUCUGUAUAUAUCUCUAAGUUUUUUAGGAAUUUUAGUUUCAGAGAAUCAACAACUGUUACUGCAGCCAUGGAUUAGAGAUUUAAAAUGCUCGAUUUGCCUAGAGUUCAGGUGGCAAGGAAGCUUUGAUUUUGAUGCCCAGAGUUAGAAAGCCUAAUUAUACCUUUGUAGAGAUACUGCUCUUC